CCUACGGGUGGCAGCAGUGGGGAAUAUUGCACAAUGGGGGAAACCCUGAUGCAGCGACGCCGCGUGAAGGAAGAAGUAUUUCGGUAUGUAAACUUCUAUCAGCAGGGAAGAAAAUGACGGUACCUGACUAAGAAGCCCCGGCUAACUACGUGCCAGCAGCCGCGGUAAUACGUAGGGGGCAAGCGUUAUCCGGAUUUACUGGGUGUAAAGGGAGCGUAGGCGGUUUAGCAAGUCAGAAGUGAAAGCCCGGGGCUCAACGCGGGGACGGCUCUUGAAACUGUUGGACGAGAGUGCAGGAGAGGUAAGUGGAAUUCGUGGUGUAGCGGUGAAAUGCGUAGAUAUGAGGAGGAACACGAGUGGCGAAGGCGGCUUACUGGACUGUAAAUGACGCUGAGGCUCGAAAGCGUGGGGAGCGAACAGGAUUAGAUACCCGAGUAGUC
rnacentral:rRNA from 1 species